rnacentral:tRNA from 2 species
GGGAUAUGGCGGAAUCGGUAGACGCUACGGACUUAAAUCCGUUGGUUUUAUAGAUCGUGAGGGUU